GUCCGUGGCCAUACCAUACUGCGAGCACCCUAUCCCGUCCGAUCUCGGAGGCUAAACAGGACCGGGCCUGGUUAGUACUUGGAUGGGAGACCGCCUGGGAAUACCAGGUGAUGUUUUUU
rnacentral:rRNA from 1 species